AUCUAUAUAGCUUAUAAAGAGCACUAUAUUGAAGCCAUAGUUGAGAUUAUGUCUGUAGAUA
rnacentral:tRNA from 2 species